AAAAGAAGAUAAAUAAAUGUAAGAUUUAUUUAUUCAGUCUUUUCAGGGUUUCGUCAUUUCAUCAUUCACGGAGACAUGUCACACACUUAGCGCAUUGCUCCUUGUGCAUAAGCGUGACAUUAACUCGACAUGCAGAAAUAAUAAUAAUAGUUACGGUGAUGCGUAAAACAUGCUCGUGCAGGAACAGUAAUUAACAUGAGAUCAUAGCGGACCGGUGGGAUGUAAGAGAUCAAUGUGGAGAUGAAACAUGAUUAAAAUUGUUUUUAAAAAAAGCGUCCCAAACCAGACUCAACAACCUCUUUGCAGUAAGAGCAUGUUAGUCCAUGGAACAAUCGGCAUUAAUGCGUGUUACCAGAACCCAAGUAGUGCACAAUGCACAGUUAAAUGCGGCUGGUUAAGCUGCAAACAUCAUGGUGGUAAGUGUUCAGAUUCAGGCAAUCUCAAUGAUGAGCAGAACCUCACAAUCCAGGUGGUGUAUUUUUCAUCAGAGGAGCCUCAGUAGAGGAAAAGUUUUAAUUUGAUCCAAGCUGAAGGUGUCAGCCUUGACUCGCUGGUCUGAGACCAGGUUUAUAUUCCUGAGUCAAAUCCAAAUCAAGCAGCAGAGGAAGACUCCAAGCUGACCCAAGGCCAGCUGUUAGGGGCAAACCACCCUCUGCCCCCUCUCUGCUGUCCUCAGAAAGGAUCCUUUGUACCAGGCCCCAUGGGUGCCUCAGCACUGGGGUUUUAGCUUUCACUGACACACACUUUAGCCAAUAGGACCCUCACCUAUCCGUGGACAGGAAGGGAGAAAUCUGCAAGAAAUAUCUCGCUUCAGAGGCAGAAAUUCCUAAAUGAAAAAGCUCUGUCAUCGUUGAGAAUGCUCAGAUGAUCACGACUGAACAAGACCUGCGUCGACUGGACGUUUCAUGGGAUCAUGAAGAGGAAAAGGCAAAGAGAUAAGAUGAACGUCAGCUGCCCUCAAUGAAUCUAGACCAGAUGGUCAAGGCUGGAUCUGGGCACAGCUGAGACCUCACUAUGAACUCUAACACGUUAUGUCCCAUCUACACCACAAGGCGGCGCACUUGGACGUUCAAAGUAAACGCUACCAGCUGGGCCUGUAGACAGAUUCCUCCAGAUGUGCUUCCCUCUGAUUGGUUGUGAUUUUCCUCACUGGCCCCAAUCACCGCUGGGUCAUAUUUCAGUUCUGAUGAGGAGGAAGGUGCCGGCUACAUGCACGUGUCUUUAAGUGCCAUGAGGAAGGCAGCCCGGGUCAAAGAAUUCAGCUCUCGACAGGCCUGAGCGCAUAUCAGCAUGCUGAGGCUACUGGCUCCGUUCACCCUGCUGCUGACUGACUCUGAAGCACCCACAGAGGAAGGAACCGGGGGAGAACCAGUAAAAGACAGGCUGGGAUUUUUAAGAAGCGCUCAUUUACUUUAAGUGCCUCAAAUUAUACAACACCCGGGCCAAGUUUGUGAUGUGUCUCUGUAUAUGUAACACGCAUUCCCUUCCCUCUCCACCUUUAUUCCCUCCUACCCUACGACUCUCGUGUGAUUUCAGUGUCUCCCCAAGCCUGCGCUACCACCUCCGUCUGUGCGUCUCUUCCUCCCCGUCUGUCUCCACUCCCUCAGGAUACCACAUCUGCAGGCUGUUUCCACUGGAAUACAUUUCUUCAGCAUUUAGACUUCAGCGGCUGGGAGGCGGAGCUACCGGAGAGCUGCUCUGAUGUCAGUUUGGGAAUGAGUAUGAAGUAGGGACGAAAGAAUAAAUAUGUGUCAGGAGAGGAUGAGUCAGAAGGAAUGGCUGUUUCUCUCGACAAUGGAGUUAUCAAAGACCAAACUGAGUCUCUGAUGAACUUAAGAUAAAUCAGAGAUGAAGCAAAGAAAAAAAAAUGCCCCAAAACCCUCUCUGUCAAUGAAAGAGCUGGGAAAGGAGAAGGAACAUGAGAAUCGCUAAAAAAACACAAGGCAAUAGGAUAGAAAUCAAAGUAGGGCACCUCCCUUGGCUGGGACCAACACAUGGUUAGAUUUGCCUGUGUCCACAUGACUCACAGUCUGGUCAGCAAACGCAUAAUAAACGUGACAGAAAUAUCCACACACAAUGUCACCAGAGUCCAUGGCAGGCAGUUAAUUGCUAGAUAGAGCUGCGCCGUGGUUUGAGAGAGGAAAAAAAAAGCCCAACUCUUAUAAGACUAAAGCAAGUGAACGGCCAUAAAUGCAUUUUCUUUUAAAGCUUUUGAAAAGCUACAGAAAUAUGCGAAGGGGGCUGACCUGUCGAGAGGAUUUCUCGACCGAACACUUCAGUCAAGGUUUCGAUGGAUAUAAUCUCCAACGGCACAGAUAAAGAAAAUGACUUACAACGAUAGUGAUUUAAUCAAACUACAAAGUCGAUCUGAAAAACUUCCUGGCAGUGCUGACAGUUACAGAGAGUGCUCAGUGUUAUAUAGUAGAUACUAUAGUAGGUAACUUAAUUAACUUGUGGCUUUCAAAUAACGUAUAUUUGAAAGCCACAGUGCAGCACUUUUACAUGUGCUCUUGUUGCCAGUUGCAUAUUAUAUAUAUAUAUAUUUACAUCCGAGCUGAUGAGGGUAGCAACUUUAGCAAUGGAGAUGGAUCAGAUAGGUCACUUCUAGCCCGAUGUAGCAAGACUAGCUAGACUACACCAGGUACCACGCCAUGUGAAUGUCAUUAGGGGGAGUUUUUCAACCGAUAAAGAGAAAAAAUAGUAGCUCUGGAUGCAAGUAGAUAGUUCCAGAUCAGAGACUUUUUUUGCGAACAAC